AGGUUAAGCUAGUAAGAGCGCACGGAGGAUGCCUAGGCACCAGGAGCCGAAGAAGGACGUGGCGAACAACGAUACCGCCUCGGGGAGCCGUAAGCAGGCUUUGAUCCGGGGAUUUCCGAAUGGGGAAACCCAGCUGGAGUAAUGUCCAGUUACUCUUGAGUGAAUACAUAGCUCAAGAAGAGGCAUACCGGGGGAACUGAAACAUCUAAGUACCCCGAGGAAGAGAAAACAAAAGUGAUUCCGUCAGUAGCGGCGAGCGAACGCGGAUUAGCCCAAACCAAGGAGCUUGCUCCUUGGGGUUGUAGGACAUCUCA
rnacentral:rRNA from 1 species